rnacentral:misc_RNA from 1 species
CCGAGUUCGCGCCCCCUCGCGGGGUAGAUCUCCCACCCUUGUGUAUCUCAAUGUUUUUGUUGCUUUGGCAGGCCGUUAAUUCGUUAACCACCGGCCCUCGGGCUGGUGCGCGCCUGCCGGAGGAUCUCCCAAACUCUGUUUGUCAGUGUCGUCUGAGUACUUAUAACAAAUCGUUA